rnacentral:rRNA from 1 species
AUCCCGUCCACCGAUUGACUAAGGUUUCCAGAGGAAGGCUCGUCCGCUCUGGGUUAGUCGGGUCCUAAGCUGAGGCCGACAGGCGUAGGCGAUGGAUAACAGGUUGAUAUUCCUGUACCACCUAUAAUCGUUUUAAUCGAUGGGGGGACGCAGUAGGAUAGGCGAAGCGUGCGAUUGGAUUGCACGUCUAAGCAGUAAGGCUGAGUAUUAGGCAAAUCCGGUACUCGUUAAGGCUGAGCUGUGAUGGGGAGAAGACAUUGUGUCUUCGAGUCGUUGAUUUCACACUGCCGAGAAAAGCCUCUAGAUAGAAAAUAGGUGCCCGUACCGCAAACCGACACAGGUAGUCAAGAUGAGAAUUCUAAGGUGAGCGAGCGAACUCUCGUUAAGGAACUCGGCAAAAUGACCCCGUAACUUCGGGAGAAGGGGUGCUCUUUAGGGUUAACGCCCAGAAGAGCCGCAGUGAAUAGGCCCAAGCGACUGUUUAUCAAAAACACAGGUCUCUGCUAAACCGUAAGGUGAUGUAUAGGGGCUGACGCCUGCCCGGUGCUGGAAGGUUAAGAGGAGUGGUUAGCUUCUGCGAAGCUACGAAUCGAAGCCCCAGUAAACGGCGGCCGUAACUAUAACGGUCCUAAGGUAGCGAAAUUCCUUGUCGGGUAAGUUCCGACCCGCACGAAAGGCGUAACGAUUUGGGCACUGUCUCAACGAGAGACUCGGUGAAAUCAUAGUACCUGUGAAGAUGCAGGUUACCCGCGACAGGACGGAAAGACCCCGUGGAGCUUUACUGUAGCCUGAUAUUGAAAUUCGGCACAGCUUGUACAGGAUAGGUAGGAGCCUUUGAAACGUGAGCGCUAGCUUACGUGGAGGCGCUGGUGGGAUACUACCCUAGCUGUGUUGGCUUUCUAACCCGCACCACUUAUCGUGGUGGGAGACAGUGUCAGGCGGGCAGUUUGACUGGGGCGGUCGCCUCCUAAAAGGUAACGGAGGCGCUCAAAGGUUCCCUCAGAAUGGUUGGAAAUCAUUCAUAGAGUGUAAAGGCAUAAGGGAGCUUGACUGCGAGACCUACAAGUCGAGCAGGGUCGAAAGACGGACUUAGUGAUCCGGUGGUUCCGCAUGGAAGGGCCAUCGCUCAACGGAUAAAAGCUACCCCGGGGAUAACAGGCUUAUCUCCCCCAAGAGUUCACAUCGACGGGGAGGUUUGGCACCUCGAUGUCGGCUCAUCGCAUCCUGGGGCUGUAGUCGGUCCCAAGGGUUGGGCUGUUCGCCCAUUAAAGCGGUACGCGAGCUGGGUUCAGAACGUCGU